GGUCGCGUAGCCCAAUCAGUAGAGGCAUUCGACUUAAAAUCGAAAAAGUGCGGGUGCGAUCCCCGCCGCGACCACCA
rnacentral:tRNA from 1 species